rnacentral:rRNA from 1 species
CAAUAGCGUAUAUUAAAGUUGUUGCAGUUAAAAAGCUCGUAGUUGGAUCUCUGGUUUAGGCCGGCGGUUCGCCUCGCGGCGACUACUGCCUGUCCUGACCUACCUGCCGGUUUUCCUCAGGUGCUCUUGACUGAGUGUCUGGGGUGGCCGGAACGUUUACUUUGAAAAAAUUAGAGUGUUCAAAGCAGGCAUGUUCGCCUGAAUAUUAGUGCAUGGAAUAAUGGAAGAGGACCUCGGUUCUAUUUUGUUGGUUUUCGGAGCGCGAGGUAAUGAUUAAGAGGGACAGACGGGGGCGUCCGUACUCUGCCGUUAGAGGUGAAAUUCUUGGAUCGGCGGAAGACGAACUACUGCGAAAGCAUUCGCCAAGAAUGUUUUCUUUAAUCAAGAGCGAAAGUCAGAGGUUCGAAGAUGAUCAGAUACCAU